rnacentral:misc_RNA from 1 species
AAAGUCGUAACAAGGUUUCCGUAGGUGAACCUGCGGAAGGAUCAUUAUCGAUUCAAGAGGACGUGCUGGCUCUUCUGUUAGGAGGGCAUUGUGCACUCUCUCAAAUCUAACCCUAUUCACCUGUGCACACUUGGUAGGCAAGAGAAAGGGGGGCAAUACUGUUCCCCAAACUCUUUGCCUAUUGUUUUGUAACACACACCUUAUGAAUUUUAAUUGAACAAAAAUAAAAAUUGUAACAACUUUCAACAAUGGAUCUCUUGGUUCUC